rnacentral:snRNA from 1 species
GUGCUCACUUCAGUAGCACAUAUACUAAAAUUUCGGAAGAUACAGGGAAGAUUAGCAUGACCCCUAUGCAAGGACGACACACAAAUUCGUGAAGUGUUCCAUAUUUUU